rnacentral:rRNA from 1 species
UGGGGAUGACGUCAAGUCAUCAUGGCCCUUACGACCAGGGCUACACACGUGCUACAAUGGCAUAUACAAAGAGAAGCGACCUCGCGAGAGCAAGCGGACCUCAUAAAGUAUGUCGUAGUCCGGAUUGGAGUCUGCAACUCGACUCCAUGAAGUCGGAAUCGCUAGUAAUCGUAGAUCAGAAUGCUACGGUGAAUACGUUCCCGGGCCUUGUACAC